rnacentral:rRNA from 1 species
UACGGAGGGUGCAAGCGUUAAUCGGAAUUACUGGGCGUAAAGGGUGCGUAGGCGGUUGUUUAAGUCUGCCGUGAAAUCCCCGAGCUCAACUUGGGAAUUGCAAUGGAUACUGGCAGGCUGGAGUAUGGUAGAGGAAGGUGGAAUUCCCGGUGUAGCAGUGAAAUGCGUAGAGAUCGGGAGGAACACCAGUGGCGAAGGCGGCCUUCUGGACCAAUACUGACGCUGAAGCACGAAAGCGUGGGGAGCAAACAGG